GCCACCUUCAAAAUGGCGGAACACAGCUGGAUGUUCUGACAUCCCGUCUCCAUGGCGAUGGUCCUCUGCCCCCUGAGGAAAGAAGGAAGGAUGUCCAAAUAAGGAUUUGAUUGCUUGACAUUGAAUUCUAACUGAGGUAUGAAAGGACGUAUCCUAAAGUGUAGCCAAUGAGGGGCAUGAGGGCAGCAGUGGCCAUUAGUUGAGGGGACAGGACGGUCAGCAUCACAUU